CCCUUAGAUGUCCUGGGCCGCACGCGCGCUACACUGAUGCAUGCAACGAGUUUAUAACCUUGGCCUGAAAGGUCUGGGUAAUCUUUUGAACGUGCAUCGUGAUAGGGAUAGAUUAUUGCAAUUGUUAAUCUUGAACGAGGAAUUCCUAGUAAACGCGAGUCAUCAGCUCGCAUUGAUUACGUCCCUACCCUUUGUACACACCGCCCGUCGCACCUACCGAUUGAAUGGUUCGGUGAAGAUCUCGGACUUCGAUAUUUAUUCUUUAUUGAGUUUAUAUUGUGGGAAGUUAUCUAAACCUCAUCAUUUAGAGGAAGGUGAAGUCGUAACA
rnacentral:rRNA from 1 species